ACUCUCUGUAUUUGCAUGCACAGAAGACAAAGAAAGAAAUCUUGCUUUGCUUUUACAUCUUCGUUACCUUCUAUUUGUAGGUUCACUUUGUAGAUAGUGACAUAUAUUUAACCAUACUUUAUUGUAUGCUUGAAAGUUUCUAAGACAAUAGAGCUUUAAUAUUCUCACCAUCCAUAAUUACAAUAAAAUAACUAUGUGAAGUGGAGAAUGUUUAUCUAACCUAAUUUGAUAAACAUUUUACAACGUAUAUGCACAUGUCAAAUCAUCACAUUGUACAUACACCCUAAACUUACAUGAUGUUAUGUGUCAAUUAUAUUUCAAUGAAGCUAGGAAAAAAUAAUCUAGUUUCUUUUAGGGAGAAAAAGGCACAAGGAAAAAAGCUAUGCAGUCCUUCAAACUAUACUGCUUUCUUUUUGGACAUGACUUUCUUUUCUCAAAAAGCAUGUUUGAAAAAUGUUUCAUAGGUGGCUUAGCUUUCUCUCUCCUCCAGUAAGACAGAAGCUGGGAGGUUACCACACAAAUAGAACAAAGAUUUUCAAAUAGGCAUUUCUACAUAUAGUCACCUUACUCUGGGUGUCUCAAAACAAAGUCUGCUUUAAGAAACAGGGCUUAUGAGACUGACAGCAUGUUUCUUCUUGUGGAGAGUUAUAUUUGUCUAUUUUCACAAACAGAACAGGUUGGGAAGUUACAGGCCUAGAAAAAUGUAAUAAAAAGCUCCAGAUUCAUCUUCUGUUUGGUUUUAAUAUAGUCAUUUUCUCUUUCCACUUUCAAUGACUGCAGGAUUUAAUUUGAGUAAUGCCACAGGAAUGUGGUUUCAAGGAGAAAAAAAAAAAUCUUCAAAUACCCACCUCCCUGUUUCUCACUAGAAAAAAGAAUCGUUCACUAUAUGCUGGCUUUUGAAAUGCUUUCGUCUUUUUUGCUGGCAGUUGUGUUUUCUUAUUUAAAUAGAUAAAUAUAAAUAUAUUGAAAUGUAAAUAUAGCUCUCAAAGAGAGCCCUUAGCAAAAUACAAAAUUCUUUUGAUGUGUUUCAAAACAAUAGCACCACCAAAUUUUGUGACAAAAUAAUAAAAAUUAGUGGUUUUAACUUCUUUUUGUCUGCCUCUAUCAAUGUUUUUUCAAUAUCAUUAUUUUCUGAGAGCACAUACUGAAUAUUUUUUUUUUCUCUGAGAAACUCAUGGAUCUUUAUAAACAGCAAAUUGGAAACAUGGGGCACCAAACUCUAAGUCUUUAUUUGGCAGAAACAUAGGAAGCUGGGGUACUGGAACAUUCCAGUCAAUUCUUAAGAAAACCACAGACUGGGGAAUGAAUGAAGGUGCACGUAAUUGCCACAGGCACAUUCCCUCUGGUCAGUUCUCAGCUGGACUGAUGGGUCCCAAGUCAACUUCUUUCCUUUCCUGUAUCCCCUAAAGGGUCCCUUAAUAAUGGUCCCUCUUCUUUUUGCUUCAAGUCAGCCCUGAUUCAUCUAUUGAACCCGAGAGUCAUAACUGGUCUGUUUCUCCUUCUUCCCCUAGUGCUCAUGGCAGACAUCACUAAUUGAUCAUGACUUAGACAACCAUUUGCUUGCUCAGACAUUGUAUGAGGAGUUCCCAUUGUGGCUCAGCGGAAACGAACUCAACUAGUAUACAUGAGCAAUCGGGUUUAAUUCCUGGCCCUGCUCAGUGGGUUAAGGAUCUGGUGUUGCUGUGAGCUGUGGUGUAGGCUGGCAGCUACAGCUCUGAUUGGACCCCUAGCCUGGGAAAUUCCAUAUGCUGCAGGUUCAGCCCUAAAAAUGCAAAAAAAAAAAAAAAGAAAAGAAAAGAAAAGAAAUUGUAUGAAAGAAGGAAAUUUUGUCAUUCUUGCCCUAAUUCACGAUACGGUUCCUUAUAGAUUGCCUAACCCUUGCCAGAUUCCUUCCCCAAGAAGGCUGUAUAAUGCUUUCUGCUGUCAUGAAAGGCUUCUGCUAAGAAUCACAGCGCCACCAUCUGUCUGGCUUUGAGUGGUGCCUGCUGCCUGGACGUUGCUCUUCGCUGUCUGCAGGACUGGAGUUCCAGGUACAGAGACCUGCCUGGAUCAGAUCUGACAUGACCUUUUAACUGCUGUAUCCUGGACUCGAUUGUCAGCCCUGUCUUCAAGAAAUGCCAUGCACCGUAUGCAUUUGCUUUUAUGAAGUAAAAAUGGCAAUUCCCGGUAGAAGGACACUGUGGAGGAUGGGAAACAGAUGCUUUGGUCAGAUCCCAGGAUACGACACCAUGGAAAUGCAAAAGAACAAGAAAGCAAUGACAUAAACCUCAACUUCAAGGAGCUGAUUGGCCAGAUGACAUGGACGCACCUUGUUUCGGCAAACUUUCAACAGCGCUUUUUGAACAUAGGUUGGCCUUGUUUCCUAAGGCUGAAAAGACUCAGGGAACAUUUGAAGAUAAGUGACUCAUCCUGUCCAUCUCUUUGACUUCACACUUCGGUGGGGAGAUUGGUAUCCCGAGGAAGGACCCCCUUCCUUUAGAUAGAGAAAAGCAAAGUCUGGAAAGGACCACUGAAUAAUAACCAGUCAGAUCACACAUUUGUUGCAAAUAUGGAAAAGAAUUUCUUUAAAGUUUUCCUCAUGUGGGAAUGGCAGGAAUCUUAGGAUGAGUGCCCCAGAGGCAGAUCUUGAGAGAAGGAUUUGAGUGCAAGUAGCUUCUUGGAAGCUGACAGCAGGAAGCAGAGGUUCUUGGAAGGUGGGAAAUUUAGACAAGAAGGGAAGAGAGCCAGCAAUAAAGGGUGUAUUAUUGGGCAACGUACUGAUGCAGGUAACUGGGCUCAGUGGCUCUGAGUCCUGAGGCUCUGAGUCCUGAGUUGUUCAAUCUCAGAUCGUGGAGGCCGGGGCAUGGAUCUGUGGACUUCCAUCCUUCAUUGAUGGAGACCUGCCCUCGGGAACAUAAACUCCCCAGUUCUUCUGGCUCUCCCUGAGCCAGGGCAGGCUCCUGAGAACGCCCAGGAGAGCGUGGCCUUGCCGCGUAUGGGAAGCAGAGGAUUCCUGGGUGAUGAGCAGAUGGUUCUGCUGCAGAAUGCUGAUAACUGACCUACCCCGAGAAGCCAAAAAAGAAAAUGAAUCUAUGGCUAUAAAUGAAUAAAUGAGUGCACUGAAAUUUUGUGGAGGGGUGUCGUAUUUCUAUGGUUUCGACAUACCUUCUUACAAAAUGCUUAUUAGCUUCCAAGGGGAAAAGAGGACCUUUCCAGUGAAUCUAGUGGUCAAAGUUAACAUGACCAGUCAUGAGACAAGUUAAACCACGUCCUGCCUGGUAGACCCCGUGAGAACGGAGCAUCACUUCCGGGGUAGCACUGCCAGGGAAGCAUGAACCGACACUAAUGCCGAAGGAAUAUCAGGCGAGCUCCACUUGAACGGCCUUCUGCAGUGUGUAACCUGCUCUGUGAACUUUUAAAAGUGUCAAGGUCGUGACAGUCAAGGAAAGACUGAAGAACUGGUCUAGACUGAAGAUAUCUGAAGAGCGAGACCAACAAAGGGUCUCUCCUUAAUGGCAGGUAAUCCCAUAGACAGUGUCACUGUACCAUCAGGUAAAAGGACCGUCGAGCCAAGCUGGGCGCUAGGUCCCAGAGCUCCAGCUGAAUUCUAGUCUGAUUGAGCAGCAGUUUCACUUUGAAGAGCUACAUACAGGAGAAUUCCUGAAGUCACCAUCUAUGCUGAGAAUCAGUUCCCUUAACCAAGUGUCCUAACAGGCGAGAUAUUUCAA